rnacentral:misc_RNA from 1 species
CCUGAAGAUACGUUCCCGCGCAGUGUCCACAACAGAUUGUCUGAUAGAAAAGUAAUGAGCAGGACGGCUGCGAAGUCGUGACACUUUCAGUGUCCCCUUCGUCUAGCGGUUAGGACUCCGCCCUUUCACGGCGGCAACAGGGGUUCGAAUCCCCUAGGGGACGCCACUUGCUUGGUGACAGGUGAAAGGUGUCGCUGCAAAAUAUCUUAAAACUGACUUUAAGCAGUCGGCUUUAAGAUAUUGCUCUUUAACAAUCCGGAACAAGCUGAAAAUUGAAACGACGUGUCGUUUUCAUUCUCCGUAAUAA